rnacentral:rRNA from 1 species
AGGGCGCAUGGCGGAUGCCUUGGCUCUCGGAGGCGAUGAAGGACGUGAUAAGCUGCGAUAAGCUCCGGGGAGGUGCAAAUAACCUUUGAUCCGGGGAUUUCCGAAUGGGACAACCCGGCGUGUUGAAGACACGCCACCUGAUCAUUUCAGGAGCUAACGCAGGGAACUGAAACAUCUUAGUACCUGCAGGAAAAGAAAAUAACAAUGAUUCCCCCAGUAGUGGCGAGCGAACGGGGAAUAGCCCAAACCGUUCAUGUUACGGCAUGAUCGGGGUUGUAGGACUACGUCGUUGCAUGAAGACAUCGGAGAAGAACUUUCUGGAAAGAAAGACCAUAGAGCAUGACAGUUGCGUAUUCGAAUGUUGUCGAAGCAUAGUAGUAUCCUGAGUAGCGCGGAGCACGAGGAAUUCUGCGUGAAUCUGCCGGGACCAUCCGGUAAGGCUAAAUACUCCCGAGAGACCGAUAGCGAACCAGUACCGUGAGGGAAAGGUGAAAAGCACUUCGAACAGAAGAGUGAAAUAGUUCCUGAAACCGUGCGCCUACAAGCGGUCGGAGCUGCUUAAAGCAGUGACGGCGUGCCUUUUGCAUAAUGAACCUACGAGUUGCCUUUGCCGGCAAGGUUAAGUGUGACGACACACGUAUCCGAAGCGAAAGCGAGUCUGAAGAGGGCGUAUAGUCGGCAGUGGCAGACGCGAAACCAAGUGAUCUACCCUUGGCCAGGUUGAAGGCUGGGUAACACCAGCUGGAGGACCGCACCAAUAAGCGUUGAAAAGCUUCUGGAUGAGCUGAGGGUAGGGGUGAAAGGCUAAUCAAACUUGGAGAUAGCUCGUACUCCCCGAAAUGCAUUUAGGUGCAGCCUUGCGGGUUACUGAUGUGAGGUAGAGCGACUGAUAAGAUGCGAGGGCUUCACCGCCUAUCAAGUCUUGACAAACUCCGAAUGCGCAUCAGUUCUACCGCAGGAGUGAGGGCAUGGGUGCUAAGGUCCGUGCCCGAGAGGAGAAGAAUCCGGACCACCUGCUAAGGUCCCGAAAUGACAGCUAAGUUAAACUAACGAAGUCUGACUGCUAAGACAGCUAGGAUGUUGGCUUGGAAGCAGCCAUUCAUUUAAAGAGUGCGUAACAGCUCACUAGUCGAGGAGUCGGGCGUGGAUAAUAAUCGGGUAUUAAGUUGUCUACCGAAGCAGUGGGAUCAUUAAUAUGAUCGGUAGGGGAGCAUUCCAGUCAGCGUCGAAGGCGUACCGUGAGGUAUUCUGGAGCGUCUGGAAAAGCAAAUGUAGGUAUAAGUAACGAUAAAGGGGGCGGGAAACCCCCUCGCCGAAAGACUAAGGUUUCCUGAUCAACGCUAAUCGGAUCAGGGUUAGUCGGGUCCUAAGGCUCAGCCGAACGGUGAGGCCGAUGGCAGAACAGGUUAAUAUUCCUGUACUUGGUGUUACUGCGAAGGGGGGACGGAGAAGGCUAUGUUAGCCGGGCGACGGUUGUCCCGGUUUAAGCGUGUAGGCUGGUUUUCCAGGCAAAUCCGGAAAAUCAAGGCUGAGGCGUGAUGACGAGGCACUACGGUGCUGAAGCAACAAAUGCCCUGCUUCCAGGAAAAGCCUCUAAGCAUCAGGUAACAUCAAAUCGUACCCCAAACCGACACAGGUGGUCAGGUAGAGAAUACCAAGGCGCUUGAGAGAACUCGGGUGAAGGAACUAGGCAAAAUGGUGCCGUAACUUCGGGAGAAGGCACGCUGAUAUGUAGGUGAAGUCCCUUGCGGAUGGAGCUGAAAUCAGUCGAAGAUACCAGCUGGCUGCAACUGUUUAUUAAAAACACAGCACUGUGCAAACACGAAAGUGGACGUAUACGGUGUGACGCCUGCCCGGUGCCGGAAGGUUAAUUGAUGGGGUCAGCGCAAGCGAAGCUCUUGAUCGAAGCCCCGGUAAACGGCGGCCGUAACUAUAACGGUCCUAAGGUAGCGAAAUUCCUUGUCGGGUAAGUUCCGACCUGCACGAAUGGUGUAAUGAUCUGGACGCUGUCUCAACCGUGAGCUCAGUGAAAUUGUAGUAUCGGUGAAGAUGCCGAUUACCCGCGAUGGGACGAAAAGACCCCGUGAACCUUUACUAUAGCUUAUCAUUGAAUCUGGGCACGUGAUGUGUAGGAUAGGUCGGAGGCUUUGAAGGGGGUACGCCAGUAUCCUUGGAGCCGCUGUUGAAAUACGACCCUUCAUUUGUUUGGAUUCUAACCCGUGUAUAUGGGGACACUGAUUGGUGGGUAGUUUGACUGGGGUGGUCGCCUCCAAAAGCGUAACGGAGGCUUCUAAAGGUGCCCUCAGGGCGAUUGGUAACCGCCGUUAGAGUGUAAUGGCAUAAGGGCGCUUGACUGGGAGACUGACAAGUCGAUCAGGUAGGAAACUAGAGCAUAGUGAUCCGGUGUUUCCGUAUGGAAGGGACAUCGCUCAAAGGAUAAAAGGUACUCCGGGGAUAACAGGCUGAUCCCUCCCAAGAGCUCAUAUCGACGGAGUGGUUUGGCACCUCGAUGUCGGCUCGUCACAUCCUGGGGCUGGAGAAGGUCCCAAGGGUUGGGCUGUUCGCCCAUUAAAGUGGCACGCGAGCUGGGUUCAGAACGUCGUGAGACAGUUCGGUCUCUAUCUAUCGUGGGCGUAUGAAAUUUGCGUGGCUCUGACACUAGUACGAGAGGACCGUGUUGGACAGACCUCUGGUUUGCCGGUUGUGCCGCCAGGUGCAUUGCCGGGUAUCUAAGUCUGGAUCGGAUAAGUGCUGAAAGCAUCUAAGUACGAAGCCGGCCACAAGAUUAGAUUUCUCAGGGUCGUCAUAGACGAUGACGUUGAUAGGAUGCAGGUGUAAAGAUGGAGACAUCAAAGCCGAGCAUUACUAAUUGCCCGUCCACUUUCCU